rnacentral:lncRNA from 1 species
UUUUCCUUCCUGCAGGUGUGGUCGAGCCAACAACAACUACAGAUCUGAGACCUGUCUGGAUGUGACAGUAGGUAUCAGCCUGAUUGAUUUUGUUACAGGAAUGUAACCCAGCAUCUAAUAUAUUACGCACUGUUUUCUGUCCUCGUUAUCAACAGAUCCCAGAUGAUCACCUGGCCGGGUGUCAUAUUUACCCAGAGGCUGAUUCACCUCGCAGAACUGAGCUCCGUCCUGAAGGUGCUGGACUCCCUGACACCGACUUCCUGCUGUACCUCCACCUACGGGCCACUGACAAGUGUAGAGCUGAGCCUAACGUGUUGGCCUACGCCGUCCACUGCCAGAUGGACACCCAUGGGCGACCUGUUGCUGGGGUGGUGGUGAUCUGCAGGGACAGACUGACAGGAGCCGCAUACAGCCACCAGACUUCUGUGCAGGUACCAUCAUCAAUAUCCAUUUCAUUACGUUUUAAUCAUGUAUUGAUGUGUCGAAUCGUGUGCUCUCAUCUGUUUUUCCAGACUGUGAUCCACGAGCUGUUUCACGCGCUUGGUUUCUCCAAACAUCUCUUCCACACCUGGAGAGACUGCUCGUCCACCUCUACAGCUGGAGCUGCCUGUUCUCCUCGAGGCACAGUGACUCACUCUGAUGGAUCAGGCCAGAUGAGGAUUUACACCCCGUCCGUCAUCUCAGCCCUGCAGAAGCACCUGGCGUCCACUGACCCAGAGCUGGGAGCGCCGCUGGAGAACCUGGUACCAAGCAGCUCCAGCCUGACCCCUCAUGAGAUCUAUCAUGCGCUCUCCUUACUGCACAAGUUAAACGCUUUCUGUCUUCAGGAUCUGGGCAAACUGUCCUCCCACUGGGAGUCCAGGGUCCUGCAGGGCUCCAUCAUGGCGGCGGUGCUGGGGGACCCCGCCACAGUUCGGAUCGACCCGGUCACCCUGGCUGCACUACAGGAUACAGGCUGGUACAGUGUUAACCUGAGCCGGGCGCAGAGCCUAGUCUGGGGAGAAGGUCAGGAAGAUAACUACAUGGUUGAUAACCUGACUCGUGUGUUUUAA